rnacentral:rRNA from 1 species
UACAGAGGGGGCAAGCGUUGUUCGGAAUUACUGGGCGUAAAGGGCGCGUAGGCGGCCUUCUAAGUCAGACGUGAAAUCCCUCGGCUCAACCGGGGAACUGCGUCUGAGACUGAAAGGCUUGAAUCCGGGAGAGGAAUGCGGAAUUCCCGGUGUAGAGGUGAAAUUCGUAGAUAUCGGGAGGAACACCAGUGGCGAAGGCGGCGACCUGGGCCAAUACUGACGCUGAGGUGCGAAAGCGUGGGGAGCAAACAGG